rnacentral:rRNA from 1 species
GCGUAACACGUGGAUGACCUACCCUCGUGUGGGGGAUACCCUUCAGAAAUGGGGGCUAAGACCGCAUGUGGUCCGCAGGGGGCAGCCUCUGGGGAAGAAAGCCGGGAGUGAUCCGGGCGCGCGAGGAGGGGUCCGCGGCCGAUUAGCUAGUUGGCGGGGUAAUGGCCCACCAAGGCGACGAUCGGUAGCUGGUCUGAGAGGAUGAUCAGCCACACUGGGAUUGAGAACGGCCCAGACUCCUACGGGGGGCAGCAGUGAGGAAUCUUCCACAAUGGGCGCAAGCCUGAUGGAGCAACGCCGCGUGCGGGACGACGCGUCUCGGCGUGUAAACCGCUUUUCUUCGGGACGAGUACAGGACGGUACCGGAGGAAGAAGCCUCGGCUAACUACGUGCCAGCAGCCGCGGUAAUACGUAGGAGGCGAGCGUUGUCCGGAGUUACUGGGCGUAAAGGGUGCGCAGGCGGUGGCCUAAGUUUGCGGUGAAAGCUCCUGGCUUACCUGGGAGAGGGCCGUGAAGACUGGGGCACUUGAGGCUCGGAGAGGGACGUGGAAUUCCGGGUGGAGCGGUGAAAUGCAUAGAGAUCCGGAAGA